UACAGAGGGGGCAAGCGUUGUCCGGACUUACUGGGUGUAAAGCGCAUGCAGGUGGCUGUGCAAGUAUGCUGUGAAAGCCCCGUGCUUAACACGGGGAGGCCAGUAUAGACUGCACGGCUCGAGGACUGCAGAGGGUAGGGGAAUUGCUGGUGUAGUGGUGAAAUGCGUAGAGAUCAGCAGGAACACCAAGGCCGAAGGGACCUACCUGGGCAGUAUCUGACACUCAAGUGCGGCAGCGUGGGGAGCGAACCGG
rnacentral:rRNA from 1 species